rnacentral:lncRNA from 1 species
UUUUUUUUUCAUUUUUUUUUCUUUUUAAGGCUGCAUCUGGAGCACAUGGAAGUUCCCCGGCUUGGGGUCAAAUCAGAGCUGGAGCUGAGACCUACACCAUAGCCAUGGCAAAAAUGGAUCUAAGCUGUAGCUUGUAACAACCCCAGAACCUUAAUCCAUUGACUUAAACCCGAAUCCUCACAGACAUGAUGUCAGGAACUUAACCUGCUGAGCCACAAAGAGAACUCUGGAUGUUUUUGAAUAAUACAAGUUCAAUAUAUUAUCACCAAGAAACAACAGUCACAAUCCACAUACACAGAUCACUACAGAAAAGGUCGAUUCUGUUUACUCAUUUCUGUUAAAUAAACACAUUGGGAUGUGGGGCAUUAUGUGACAUAUUAUUUACUGAGUCAGAUCAUACAAUGUGUCAAUGCUGACUUUUUGUCUUCAUUAUUUUCCUAAUUACCAAGGCCAACAGUGCUUCAUCUAAAUUAUGUUGUGAAUUCAAGCGAGAAGAUGUGAAGUGUCUUGCUCAUAAGUGGUACAACACCCCUUCUCUCCCUUUGGUCCAUCUUUAAUUAUAAUCAAGGCCAAAGAUCAUGUAAAAAAUCAAAAAAGUACUAAUAGAAACUGGUUCUAAGACAAAGACAAAUACCAUAUGAUAUCACUUAUAACUGGAAUCUAUUAUCCAGCACAAAUGAACAUCUCCGCAGAAAAGAAAAUCAUGGACUUGGAGAAGAGACUUGUGGUUGCCUGAUGGGAGGGGGAGGGAGUGGGAGGGAUCGGGAGCUUGGGCUUAUCAGACACAACCUAGAAUAGAUUUACAAGGAGAUCCUGCCGAAUAGCAUUGAGAACUAUGUCUAGAUACUCAUGUCGCAACAGAAGAAAGGGAGGGGGAAAAAACUGUAACUGCAAUGUAUACAUCUAAGGAUAACCUGACCCCCUUGCUGUACAGGGGGAAAAUAAAAAAAAAAAAAAGAAUGUGAAAUAUAAAUCAUUUGCUAAAUUGUAUCCAUAAUAAAAAGUAAAUACAAGCAAAUAAAACUCUUCCUAAAUGAAAAAAAAAUGACAAAAAAGAAAAAAAAAAAAGAAAAAAGAAACUGGUUCUAAACAUGUUUCAUGGCACUUAGUGUGGAUUAAUAAUCCAACUAAUAUUGUCCAAUGAGGUACUGAUAAUGUGUAAUUAAUUUUUCUUUAAAUAUACUAAUUCAUUUUAGCAACAGGGAAAAUUCAACAUCAUAACUAAGCUACAUAGUUACUGCAUAAGCCAUAAAAUAAUUUAAUUUGAUGUGAAUGAUGACAUUAAUAGGUAUAUAAAUCUGAACUAUUAAAGAAAAUAUUUUGUAAGAGAAAUUUUGUACUUUAUGUAGUAGCUCCCAACUUUCCAUUACAAGAACUGAAGAGAUCAUGUCACCCAAUGAUCCUUUGUUGAAACAUCUUGAACAUCUCUUCAAAAGAUAUAGAGACUGAGUAUCACUAUGCAUCUCACCUAAUAAUAUAUAAUCUAGAUUUAUAGGAAAUUUAAAUAACACUCAACUAAAGAUGACAUAAUCUAAUUUCUUUUUGAAGAGGAUAAGUUCAAAGGUGAUACUCUCUUUUAAAAUACACUUUCCUUCUUUUAUGCCAACUAGCAUCGUCUGACUAUAGAGCUAAGGCUUCAGCUGAAGGGAGCUGAGAGGGCAGACCCAGGAAGGGUGGGGGGCGGGGAGUGGGGUGGUGAAAUUCAUGUGCUCCAACCCAUGCUUACUUGCCUUUUUCACUUUUCUGAAUAUCACAGCUAGGCUAAAUCAUAAGCACCUUUCAGACUCCAAAAUUUUCAUCUUGUAGCUAUCCUUUGUGGUAGUGCUGAAGCAGUCAGCUAAGCUGUCCAAACUGUCAGGUACAAAAAACCUCCUAUGGCUAGGAUUUCCAGUACUAUGUUGAAUAACAGUGGAGAGAGUGGACAUCUUUGUCUUGUUCCAGAUUUUAGUGGGAAGGCUUUCAGCUUUUCUCCAUUGAGUAAUAUAUUUGCUAUGGGUUUGUCAGAAAUGGCUUUGAUUAUGUUAAGGAAUGUUCCCUCUAUAUUCACUUUGGUAAGAGUUUUUACCAUGAAUGGAUGUUGGACUUUGUCAAAUGCUAUUUCUGUAUCUAUUGAGAUGAUCAUGUGGUUUUUGACUUUUCUUAAUGUGAUGUAUGAUGUUGAUUGAUUUGCAUAUGAUAAACCAUCCUUGUGCACCUGGGAUGAAUCCCACCUGGUCAUGUUGUAUGAUCUUUUUGUAUGUUGUUGGAUUCGAUUGGCUAAAAUUUUGUUAAGAAUUUUUGCAUCUAUAUUCAUCAAACAUAUCAGUCUAUAGUUUUCUUUUAUGGUGGUAUCUCUGUCUGCUUUUGGAAUUAGGGUGAUGGUGGCAUAAUAGAAUGUCUUUGGUAGUGUUCCUUCUUCAUCAACCUUUUGGAAAAGUUUGAGGAGGAUGGGCACCAGUUCCUCUUUGUAUGUUUGGUAGAAUACACCUGGGAAGCCAUCUGGUCCUGGACUUUUAUUUGUACGGAGUGUUUUCAUGACAUAUUCAAUUUCAUUUCUAGUGAUCACUCUGUUCAGUUGAUCU